rnacentral:lncRNA from 1 species
AUGACAUCACAGCAUAUCACAUCAAGACACCUUUGUUUCCUCAACACAAACAAUGUAGUAUUUGUAGCAGACAGCACAGGAUUGUGCGCAGCCUUAUGCCUCUUACACAAGCAUAAGAUCUACAUACCUCUGCUGCCACCGUGUUGUCUGUCACACGCACCUGAAGGAACAAAUAUGCUAUAUUUUGGGAUUACAGGGACACAUACGAUUAGAAAGCAGCAAAGUUCCUUUAUUUCGGAUGUGGAGACUAUGUGGACUAGGACCUAAAGCUUCUGCACGUGGGAAGCGCCCAGCUCUGCUGCUAUCCUGCUCCAUGCGGCCCCAGCACAAGCAGCACCGUGCUCUCCACACCAGAAUGCGGUGCCCUGCUGGACACGGUCAUGCCAGUGAGGGGGUCAAAGGAGAGCCUUCUAACUUUCAGCCUUUAUUGAUUCAUGAUCCCGCAGAAAUUUCUCUACCCAUGUGUUAAGUGUUGGUAAGUAAGCUAUCUGGACUAGACCCAAUGAGUUUAAAUUAGCAUUUCCCCACAAUACAAACGCUUACUGCUUUUUAUAUUUUUGCAGCGAGUUAUUUCUGCACACGCUCUGGAUGGAUAGAGAGGACUUGAAAAUGUGGAAAAUAUGUAAUACUCCUCCAAAUACCCUGCAGAUUUUAACAGCCUGCUCAUGAACCAACUCCAUUUUACUGCUGGUGCCCACAAUGGAAAGCAGAGUGCCAGCCCCUGGCAGCCCAAGCCCAACCCCUCACAACAGUGCCACUGUUGAAGCCCAGAGAAUCACUCCACGAGGACCACAGUCAGAAUGAAAGCACCAUCCUUGGACCUCAACACUCGCAGCAAUGCUAUAUAUUGAAAGCAGAACAUAGGUUUUCACUGCACAGACCCCAGGAAGCUUUUCAAAGUCCAUGCAGACCUGGGGAGUAGAUUUUUAGAUCCAUUAAAUGAUAGGCUUAAUUUCUUGGUUCACUUUUCCAACAUCCUUAAAAGUAGGCUAGCCUACAGAGAUCCACGGGCCAUUUGAGGAAAACUGCUCAGCUAGAAGGAAAGAGGAGGUGGAGUGUGGGAACUGCAAAGUAAGGGUCACUGCCAGUUUGUCGCUGAAGCAGCACAAGCCAGCAGGGAUCUGAGAUACCCAGCUCGUACUAAGUUCCUAUUAGGUACCAUUUUACUACUUCAAGAAGCCGUGUGUUAGUUACAUAGCAAAGUCCCACUUGCAGACAGGAUGGUUCCCCUGGCAGUGCUCCAGCAGGGCUCAGCACACCAACACCCCUGCACCCUCUGCAGCAAAGCAGCUUCCAGGGGAGCUUUCUCUUGAAGCUCUUCUGUGAUGCCAUGCACGCGUGAUCUGUUAAUGCUGCUCUCUGCUCUCCUACUCGUAUGUAGUAUACCUUGCAGCUCACUGAAAUAACACCCAAAAUUAUUUUUAUUGUCAAUAAAAAUGCCUUUAACGUUUUUGAAGGGUUCUGU